ACGGCCCAGACUCCUACGGGAGGCAGCAGUGGGGAAUAUUGGACAAUGGGGGGAACCCUGAUCCAGCCAUGCCGCGUGUGUGAAGAAGGCCUUAUGGUUGUAAAGCACUUUAAGCGAGGAGGAGGCUACUCUAGUUAAUACCUAGGGAUAGUGGACGUUACUCGCAGAAUAAGCACCGGCUAACUCUGUGCCAGCAGCCGCGGUAAUACAGAGGGUGCGAGCGUUAAUCGGAUUUACUGGGCGUAAAGCGUGCGUAGGCGGCUUAUUAAGUCGGAU
rnacentral:rRNA from 1 species